CCGACGAUUAGAGAUGAAAACAAGGACGCUUGUGAUUUUUCCUUCUAUUGUGAAAUAGAGUUGUACGGUGAUGUCAAUGAUGUCUGCGAGGGAAGUCCACCGUCUUGUCAGUCAAAAUUGUCCUGAAAACAUAAACAUAUUUCAACCACAACUUAGACCAAGGAUAUUGAGUCAAAAUCAAGGAAUCACGGUUAGAGUGAGACAAAGGUAUUAAGUAUUACUUCAAUGUUAGAUAUAUUCUUAAAAGGGAUAUAAGAAAAUGCACUGAAAGGCCAUAAAAGAAAGGGCUGCAGAUCAAGUAAAGACUUGUGUUUUGCGGACAGCAUAAACGGCGCGGGAACAGAAACAGAGAUGACAGACUAAGGCAAGGUAUGCGAAUGAAGUUUGAAAAAAGAAGUUUGACAAUUAUCCUUUCUUUAGGCAUUACUGAAUGAUCUUGCUUCGUAACUAACAAAGAAAAUAAAAGUAUCUUG